rnacentral:rRNA from 1 species
CCUACGGGUGGCAGCAGUGAGGAAUAUUGGUCAAUGGCCGCGAGCCUGAACCAGCCAAGUCGCGUGAGGGAUGACGGUCCUAUGGAUUGUAAACCUCUUUUAUCAGGGAACAAAGUGCGCCACGUGUGCCUUUUUGCGCGUACCUUACGAAAAAGCAUCGGCUAACUCCGUGCCAGCAGCCGCGGUAAUACGGAGGAUGCGAGCGUUAUCCGGAUUUAUUGGGUUUAAAGGGUGCGCAGGCGGAAUGUCAAGUCAGCUGUGAAAGUCCGCGGCUCAACCGUGGAAUUGCAGUUGAAACUGGAGGCCUGGAGUGCACAUAGGGAUGCCGGAAUUCAUGGUGUAGCGGUGAAAUGCUUAGAUAUCAUGAAGAACUCCGAUUGCGAAGGCAAGCUACCGGGGUGCAACUGACGCUGAGGCUCGAAAGUGUGGGUAUCAAACAGGAUUAGGUACCCGUGUAGUC